GAGAAAGAAGGGGCGGGUGAAGCGAGGAAAGGCGGAGGGGCGUGUGUAUGACGCGCUGCAACUCGCUGACGCAAGAGGCAAGUAGUCCCUGGAGGUGUCCCGGGGUGGAGCGCUCUGAAUGUGGGGGAUGGUGGCUGUCGCCCUCUGGCUCCCUCCCGCCUCCCCGUCUCAGUGGAGUUUGCCCUCCAGCCCGACGUUUCUCUGACGCUGUCAAGGAGAAUACAUUUAAACCCCCACGCUGGCGUUCUGUCCUUGCCAAAAAAAGUGAUCAAGGAAAAUAAAAUGCAAACCGUAACUGGAAACUUUCCGAUCUCACCAACCCACGUGGGUUCGGAGGCUGCCGUUGGUCCAGAACGCCCUCAACGACGAAAAGGACACAUCGGCCCCCGGCCUCGCAGCGCCGGAGAAAGCAGGGAAAGCGACCUCUGCCCCGGGCCCAGGACCACCCUGGCAGGAGAAGACACCUGGCGACCGGCAGCCCAUCCCGCCGCCGCGGAGACCCGAGUGGAAGAGUGGCCUCUCCUGGAUGGAGUGCAUUUCUUCCCUUCCUCCUCCCCCAGUUCUUAUAUCCCAGAUACUCGCUAGAUUUUCCUUGUUCCCCAAAGAAACAUACCUCCCACUGCCACCGUUAAAUAAAUGAGAGGAAGGAAGGAGAUCCA
rnacentral:lncRNA from 1 species